UUUACGAUUUUAAAGAAGCGAAAACAUUAUUUAAAUUCUUUUUUUUUUUAUUUGCUCUUUAUAUAUACGAUUGAAAAAAAAACUGGUUUUCCUCUUUCCUUGUUGAUUGAUAGUAAAUAUAUUUUGCGAAAUGUAAAUGUUAUUCUCUUCAUGUGAAUACCCUGGAUAAAAAAAAAAAAAAAAUUUUAUACUUACACAUUGAUAAAAUGUGUGAUAUAACACGACUAUAUAAAUCUAACGUCGAAAGUGAAAUAAAAUGAAAACAAUAAAAAUGUCUCUAAAGACUGUUCUUGCAAUUUUUUGCAUUUGCCUGAUAAUGGCACCUUGUUUUGCAACAAAAAAAUGUAUUGAAUAUGCUCGACGUUGUGAUGACAAUAAAUUGGCAUGUUGUGAAAAUUUAAAUUGUUUACCCGCUUUCAUUGGUUAUAUAUGCCGUUAAUUUUUCAUUUAAAAUUUUUCUGACACGAAAAUGAAUUUAAUCAAAAGGGAAAUCAAAUUUUUAUUAAUAUUAUGUUUUCAUUUUUUGAUGUUGAUUAAUGUUACAAUUUUAAUUGAAAAAAAAAUAAAUUAUUGAUAAAAUUAAA